rnacentral:rRNA from 1 species
GAUGAACGCUGGCGGCGUGCCUAAUACAUGCAAGUCGAGCGAACGGACGAGAAGCUUGCUUCUCUGAUGUUAGCGGCGGACGGGUGAGUAACACGUGGAUAACCUACCUAUAUGACUGGGAUAACUUCGGGAAACCGUAGCUAAUACCGUAUAAUAUUUUGAACCGCAUGGUUCAAAAGUGAAAGACGGUCUUGCUGUCACUUAUAGAUGGAUCCGCGCUGCAUUAGCUAGUUGGUAAGGUAACGGCUUACCAAGGCAACGAUGCAUAGCCGACCUGAGAGGGUGAUCGGCCGCACUGGAACUGAGACACGGUCCAGGGUCCUACGGGAGGCAGCAGUAGGGAAUCUUCCGCAAUGGGCGAAAGCCUGACAGAGCAACGCCGCGUGAGUGAUGAAGGUCUUCGGAUCGUAAAACUCUGUUAUGAGGGAAGAACAUAUGUGUAAGUAACUGUGCACAUCUUGACGGUACCUAAUCAGAAAGCCACGGCUAACUACGUG